CUAGAGGGACCUGGCACCCAGACCACUUCAUUAAGCUGAAGUGGUCUGGGUGCCUACAGUGGUCCAUUAAGUAUGAUUUAUAUAGCGGCAACAAAUUCUGCAGCACUGUACAAUGGGUGGACUAACAAACACGUAGGCGCAAUGAGCUUACAUGCUAGAGGUAGUGGGAUAUAGUGACACAAAAGGGUAGGGUAGAAAAGAAGGUUGCUAGGAUAGUAUUCACUGUAGACUUGUGUUUUUCUAAUCUGUAGACUUGUGGGUUUUUUUAAUACAUAAAGGUGGAGCUAUUUUUAAUUGAUGAAGAAGUGAGUUUUUAAUGAUUUUUUGAAGGAGUGUAGACUGGGUGAAAGUCUAAUGGAGAAGGGAAUUAAACAGGAAAGGUUGCUGCUCUAGAGAAGUCUUGACGGCGAGCAUCAGAGGUGGGAGUAUGACCAGAGGAUAGACGUCGGUCUUCGGCAGAGCGUAGGGGCCUAGAUUGAACGUACUUGUGUAUUAGCGAGGAUAGAUAGGUUCAAACAGCAUUAUGUAGAGAUUUGUAUGCAAGAGCCAGAAUUUUAAAUUAAGCCCUAUAACUUAUGGGAAGCCAAUGCAGGGACUGACAGAGGGGUAAGGUGUUGUAGGUGCGGGCCGAGAGGAAGAUGAGCUUCAUCGUUGCAUUCAUUAUAGACGGUAACGGGGCAAGUUGGGAGCACGUAAGAGCACUGAGAAGCGGAUUGCAGUAGUCGAAGGAAAAGAGGAUAGCGGCAUGGACCAUCCCCUUGGCAUUAAAUAGUGGAGGAUGCACGCAAUGUUUUUGAGAUGGGAGUGGCAGGAUUUGGCGAUCGACUGGACAUGAGUCGUGAUGGAAAGGUCAGCGUCAAAGAGAACACCUAGGCAGUAUAGCGCUGUUAACGUGAAAGGAGACUGAAACAGGAAUAGCAAUACAUGAGAGAUGAAAGAACAGAAGUUCUGUUUUGGACAGGUUGAGUUUAAGGAAGUGGGCAGCCAUCCAGUUGGAAAUAGCAGAGAGUCAGUUAGAGACAUGAGUCAAGAGGGGUGGCGAGAGAUCUGAAGAGGACAGAUAGAUUUGCAUGUCAUGCGCAUUGAAAUGAUAUUGGAAGUCAAAGGAGUUGAUGAGUUUACCAAGGGAGGCAGUAUAGAUCAAGAACAGUAGGGGACAAAGGACUGAAUCUUGGGGAACACCAACAGAGAAAGGUUCGGGAAAAGAGGCAGAGCCAGAGAAAGAAACAUUGUAAGAGCUAUGGGAGAGGUAGGAUGAGCACCAAGAGAGAGCAAUAUCUCGUAGACCGAGAUUACAGUAGAUGAGAAGAAGCUGUUGAUGAUCAACAUUGUCAUAAGCAGCAGAAAGGUUAAGGAGAAUUAGGACAGAAUAGUGACCACGAGAUUUUGCAGCGAGUAGAUCAUUGGAUACUUUGGUCAGAGCUGUUUCCACAGAGUAAUGAGCACGGAAAGCAGACUGAAGCUGUCGAGCAGAGAGUUGGAUUUGAGGAAGUCUGUCAAUCUCAUACACAACUCUCUCAAGGAUCUUGAACGCAUAAGGUAGUAGCGAGAUAGGGUGGUAGUUAGACAGUGUGGGUGCCAUGACUGUAGGUUUAAGCCUGCAAUUGAAAACAUUGCUGUUCUCCAGGAAUGGCAAUGUAUGUAUUGCAAGGUUAAAACGUCUUUAGGGGCUUUCAUACUGCCAGCCACAAGAGGUGGUUCUGCCAAAAUAGAUUGAGUUAAAGGGACACUAUUGGCACCCAGACCACUUCAUCUUAUUGAACUGUCCCUGUUCCCUUUACCCUGCAAUGUAAAACAGUAGCAUUGUUUACAUUGAAGUGUUAUGACUGCCUCUAGUGGCUGUAUACCAGAGCCAUUUUGCCUCACAUGCACACGGUCUACCCAAUGUUUUCCUAUGGGAAGUAUUUGAUUGGUUGACAGAGCACCACAGCUAGGGAGAAAUGGAAAGUAAAUCAACUUCCUCCUUCCCAUGAGGGGAGGGGUAUCAGUAACCUAACUAGUUAGCAGGUCACUAUAGCAUUCGGAAUACAUUUGCAUCCCUUACUUCUUGUACCACUUCCCCACUCCCUUUAGAAUGUAAGCUUGUUUGAGCAGGACUCUCAACACCCCCUGUUUCUAUGCGUCCAACACGUCUUGUUGCAAAUACAUGUCUGUUAGUACAACGCUAAGGAAUUUGUUGGCACUUUAUAAAUAAUACUUAUAAUACUGAACUUAAUAAUAAUACUAUAGUGUUCCUUUGCAGGAAUACUGCAAGCACAUGUGGAACCCACUAUUGUAGUUAGAUAAAAUUAAAAGAAUACAUGAAAGUUUCUGACUCCC
rnacentral:lncRNA from 1 species